UACGUAGGGUGCAAGCGUUGUCCGGAGUUAUUGGGCGUAAAGAGCUCGUAGGCGGUCUGUCACGUCGGCUGUGAAAACCCGGGGCUCAACCCCGGGCCUGCAGUCGAUACGGGCAGACUAGAGUGCGGUAGGGGAGACUGGAAUUCCUGGUGUAGCGGUGAAAUGCGCAGAUAUCAGGAGGAACACCGGUGGCGAAGGCGGGUCUCUGGGCCGUAACUGACGCUGAGGAGCGAAAGCGUGGGGAGCGAACAGG
rnacentral:rRNA from 1 species